UACGUAGGGGGCAAGCGUUGUCCGGAAUUAUUGGGCGUAAAGAGCGUGUAGGCGGUCAGGUAGGUCGGUUGUGAAAACUGGAGGCUCAACCUUCAGAGGUCGACCGAAACCCCCUGGCUAGAGUCCGGGAGAGGAGAGUGGAAUUCCUGGUGUAGCGGUGAAAUGCGCAGAUAUCAGGAAGAACACCCGUGGCGAAAGCGGCUCUCUGGAACGGUACUGACGCUGAGACGCGAAAGCGUGAGGAGCGAACAGG
rnacentral:rRNA from 1 species